rnacentral:rRNA from 1 species
UAUGAGGGGGGCGAGCGUUGUUCGGAAUUACUGGGCGUAAAGGGCGCGUAGGCGGCCUCGUCCGUCCGGCGUGAAAUGCCUGGGCUCAACCUAGGAAUUGCGCUCGAUACAGCGAGGCUAGAGUGUGGGAGAGGUUGGUGGAAUUCCCAGUGUAGAGGUGAAAUUCGUAGAUAUUGGGAAGAACACCGGUGGCGAAGGCGGCCAACUGGACCACAACUGACGCUGAGGCGCGAAAGCGUGGGGAGCGAACAGG